rnacentral:rRNA from 1 species
CCUACGGGAGGCAGCAGUGGGGAAUAUUGGGCAAUGGGCGCAAGCCUGACCCAGCAACGCCGCGUGAAGGAAGAAGGCUUUCGGGUUGUAAACUUCUUUUGUCAGGGAAGAGUAGAAGACGGUACCUGACGAAUAAGCCACGGCUAACUACGUGCCAGCAGCCGCGGUAAUACGUAGGUGGCAAGCGUUGUCCGGAUUUACUGGGUGUAAAGGGCGUGUAGCCGGGUUGACAAGUCAGAUGUGAAAUCCUGCGGCUUAACCGCAGAACUGCAUUUGAAACUGUUGAUCUUGAGUACUGGAGAGGCAGACGGAAUUCCGAGUGUAGCGGUGAAAUGCGUAGAUAUUAGGAGGAAAACCAGUGGCGAAGGCGGUCUGCUGGACAGCAACUGACGGUGAGGCGCGAAAGCGUGGGGAGCAAACAGGAUUAGAUACCCCAGUAGUC